UACGUAGGGUGCGAGCGUUGUCCGGAAUUAUUGGGCGUAAAGAGCUCGUAGGUGGCGGGUCACGUCGGGUGUGAAAGCCCGGGGCUUAACUCCGGGUCUGCAUUCGAUACGGGUCUGCUGGGGUCCGGCAGGGGAGACUGGAAUUCCUGGUGUAGCGGUGAAAUGCGCAGAUAUCAAGUGGAACACCAGUGGCGAAGGCGAGUCUCUGGACAUUUCCUGACGCUGAGGCACGAAAGCCAGGGGAGCAAACGGG
rnacentral:rRNA from 1 species